rnacentral:rRNA from 1 species
GACGGAGGGGGCAAGCGUUGUCCGGAUUUACUGGGCGUACAGGGCGCGUAGGUGGCCCGCCACGUCGCUGGUGAAAUCGCGCGGCUUAACCGUGCGCCGUUCAGCGAUACGAGCGGGCUGGAGGCUUCCAGAGGUCGGUGGAAUUCCCGGUGUAGUAGUGAAAUGCGUAGAACUCGGGAGGAACACCUGUGGCGCAGGCGGCCGACUGGGGAAGUACUGACACUGAGGCGCGACAGCGUGGGGAGCGAACCGA